rnacentral:misc_RNA from 1 species
GAUGAAGAACGUAGCGAAAUGCGAUAAGUAAUGUGAAUUGCAGAAUUCAGUGAAUCAUCGAAUCUUUGAACGCAUCUUGCGCUCCUUGGUAUUCUGAGGAGCAUGCCUGUUUGAGUGUCAUUAAAUUCUCAACUACACUGACUUUGAAUUGGUGUGGCUUGGAUUUGGGGGGAAAAUUGUUGUGGGCUUUUUGUAUAGUCUGCUCCCCUGAAAUUGAUUAGCGGUACCUUUGUGGAACUGUCUACAGGUGUGAUAAUUAUCUACAUCUUAGACAUCUGCUGGAAUGCUGCUUUCUAAACCUUACUUGUAUUGACAAUCUUGACCUCAAAUCAGGUAGGACUACCCGCUGAACUUAAGCAUAUCAAUGAGCGGGAGGA